rnacentral:rRNA from 1 species
GACGAACGCUGGCGGCGUGCUUAACACAUGCAAGUCGAACGGUAAGGCCCUUCGGGGUACACGAGUGGCGAACGGGUGAGUAACACGUGGGUGAUCUGCCCUGCACUUCGGGAUAAGCCUGGGAAACUGGGUCUAAUACCGGAUAGGACCACUGCCUACAUGGGUGGUGGUGGAAAGCUUUUGCGGUGUGGGAUGGGCCCGCGGCCUAUCAGCUUGUUGGUGGGGUGAUGGCCUACCAAGGCGACGACGGGUAGCCGGCCUGAGAGGGUGGCCGGCCACACUGGGACUGAGAUACGGCCCAGACUCCUACGGGAGGCAGCAGUGGGGAAUAUUGCACAAUGGGCGCAAGCCUGAUGCAGCGACGCCGCGUGAGGGAUGACGGCCUUCGGGUUGUAAACCUCUUUCCGCACCGACGAAGCGGAAGUGACGGUGGGUGCAGAAGAAGGACCGGCCAACUACGUGCCAGCCGCCGCCGUAA